UAAAUUUAUCAGCAGUUUCUGCACAUGAGUCCACCAUCGCCUCCACUUCUCCAGUGUCAGAGUGUGUUUUCUGCUGGACGCUGCUGUUGAGUGUGUGUCCGGUGUGUGUUCUCCUCUCCUCACUCCUGUCCUCCAUCUGUGUUUACUGCUUCUGUCGUCCUCAAACUACAGGUUCUGACAUGAGUGCUGAGAUUCUUAAAGCAAAUGUUUUGAUGGCAGAUUGUGUGGAGAAACAUCAGUGUGAGGCGAGUAAGAUUGGAAAGAUCUGCGUCCACACUGAAGUCUCUUAUAGACGACUGACAUCUAAACAUCCCUACACCAACAUCUGACACAUGAACUGCUCUUAGUCUACUUUCUGUCUUAUUUCUAAUAGAGUUUGAGUGGACAUGCUUUUAUUUACAGCACAUCAUCAAACAAUUUACAUAUUUACAUUUUAUUUCACAAUAUUAAUGUGUUCAAACUUGUUUUAAGACAGGUUUCUCAUUAAGAGCAAUAUUGUUAAGAUGACUUAAAGAUUUGUAAAAACACAAGGUUGUGCAUGUUUUUUUUCUGAAAAUAAUUUUUGUGUAAAUGUUUUCUGAUGAAUAAUCACUUUUUUUCAAAUACUUAUACAAAAAUGUUUUAUAGUUAUUAAAGUUUGUGCAAAUAAAGCUAAAAAACAAGGUACAAUGAACACUCAAUGGUUUCAUCUAGUGGCUAGAAAGAGGUCAAACCACUGAUCCACAACCCAGGACCAGUUCUUGAUAAGAGCUCAGAAAAAUCAGACAGGCCUUUAUGAAAUGUAAAAAAAACAGUUAUGAAAAACUUUGUGAUUCAUUUUUGAGUGUUCUUCUGUCAUGUACAAUACUUGAAUUAAACUGAUGGGAUUUUGCUCAUAAAAAUGAAGACAAUAAAGGGACGUAAACACAAAUGUUCCAGCUCAAACUGAUGCACAAUAUUUUGAAAACAUGAAACUGUGACAAACCAAAUUUAAUAUGUAAUAAAAGAUAUGGACUAGUACUAAAUAAGAUAUUAAUCUAAUAUUUCACUUGUCUGACUGGAAAUGAUAAGAACAAACAUGAAUAUUGUCAAGAUUCUAGUAUUGGAAAUCCUCCAGCAAACAAGCUUUUGCAGGACCCGUGCUGGCUUUUUGCAGGUCAACCACAAAAACCUUUUUUCUCUCUCUCUCUCUUCUGCUUGAUUUGUUAUAACUUUGUACUUUUUGUCAUUAAUACUCAAAUGUUUUGUCUGAUUGACUAUUCCGGCCCAAAUCAUGACAAUAAUUCAUCAUUUUAUCAGCAAUAAUCAGCAAAAUAUGAGAGUUUUGUUUGGUUCAAUGGCAUUGUAAACAUUCUGUGCCUCCAACAUGUUGCGUCAUGAAAACACUCUGUGCACACUCUUGCAAUCUUGGCUAUCUGAGUACAUGUGCAAACAACAGGAAGGAAUUGUGCGAGACUUGCCUAUUCAAAAUAUCACACCAUACGAUGAUCAGUUUAUGGACAAAACUGGCCAGAACUUGCUUUAAAAUCAUCAGCACCUUCUGUAUCCACUAAAAAUGAUAAUUAUUUUCACUUAAAUUGUGAAUCUAUUAAUUAUUUAUACUUUGCUGAGAUAAAUUGUCAUAAAAGUUGUAAGGUCAAACAGCUCGGACAGUCAAACCAGGUGACAAAUUUGAUUAAAAAAUGUAGGAAGAGGUCUGUAUACAUCGUCUAAAUCUAUGGUAUGCUGUAAUAAUAUCUUGUCAGAGGGAUAUAAUAAUAUCUUAUACAACUGUUUUGUCAUGAACGUAUAUCUUUUUAACAAAUACUGAUAUUUAUUAUAUUGAUAUAUGACAUCAUGAACAGGUAAAACUGCAUGUAAAGUCAUCCUCUUAUAAACAUUUCAGAAUGCUGUAAGUAAUGUGUGUACAUUUGGCCAACUCUUAUUCAAUUAUUGUGAAUUCUGGCGUCCUGCUUUUGUUAUAUACUGAUAUUUUGUCUAGUACUGAAGUGAUCAAUUGUUUCAGUAGACUCAUGCAGCAAUGUUUUAUAUUUAUUUAGUGCAGAUGUUAUACUGUUAAAUGCAUUUUAAUGCAACAGGGUGUGAAUAGCAUAUUUUUUUUUAUGUAUGGCCUAGGUGUGUGUUUAAGAGCAUAUUUUAGCAUUUAUUUUUAAGGAUUUUGACAAUAAUUACAUUUUUAGACAUUUAUUGUGUGUGUUUAAGGUUCUGACGCAAAUACUAGAGAUAUUUAUAGCAAAUGUUUUGAUGGUAACUAUUUUAUACUCUAUUUUUUAUUAUAAUAAUAGUGUAAAUUAUAGUUUAUCUCAUCAUAAUAUAGCUGUGCUUUGAUAAAGUCUACAUUUACCUAAAGCUUUAUCAUUUUAAUAUUAUUUGAAUGAAAUUUCAAGAUAACUAAUGCAGUCAUGCAAAUAAAUCCUGCAGCCAUAGUCCAACUAUAAAUACAUAAAUAAUGUAAAUUUAAAAUUUAUGUUAGUAAAAUAAGUCUAUAAUUAGUUUAAGUGUAUCUUAAUUUCUAAAAAUAUUUUAG